UACGUAGGGCGCGAGCGUUGUCCGGAAUUAUUGGGCGUAAAGAGCUCGUAGGCGGCUUGUCACGUCGGUUGUGAAAGCCCGGGGCUUAACCCCGGGUCUGCAGUCGAUACGGGCAGGCUAGAGUUCGGUAGGGGGAGAUCGGAAUUCCUGGUGUAGCGGUGAAAUGCGCAGAUAUCAGGAGGAACACCGGUGGCGAAGGCGGGAUCUCUGGGCCUAAGUGAACUGACGUGAGGAGCGAAAGCUGGGGAGCGAACAGG
rnacentral:rRNA from 1 species